CGCUGGCGGCGUGCUUAACACAUGCAAGUCGAACGAGACGAAUUAGAAGCUUGCUUUUGACGAGCCGAGUGGCAAACGGGUGAGUAACGCGUAGACAACCUGCCGCAAAGAUGGGGACAACAGUCCGAAAGGACUGCUAAUACCGAAUGUUGUAUCUCCUCCGCAUGGAAGAGAUAUUAAAGGAUGGCCUCUACUUGUAAGCUAUCGCCUGAAGAGGGGUUUGCGUCUGAUUAGGUAGUUGGUGAGGUAACGGCCCACCAAGCCGACGAUCAGUAGCCGGUCUGAGAGGAUGAACGGCCACACUGGAACUGAGACACGGUCCAGACUCCUACGGGAGGCAGCAGUGGGGAAUCUUCCGCAAUGGGCGCAAGCCUGACGGAGCAACGCCGCGUGAGUGAAGAAGGGUUUCGACUCGUAAAGCUCUGUUGUCGGGGACGAAUGUGGAGAUGGUGAAUAACCAUUUUCAAUGACGGUACCUGACGAGGAAGCCACGGCUAACUACGUG
rnacentral:rRNA from 1 species